rnacentral:rRNA from 1 species
CAGCGCCACGAGUGGUAACCGCGAUUAUUGGGCCUAAAGCGUCCGUAGCAGGUUUAGCAAAUCUUUUGUGAAAUUGUGCGGCUUAACCGUACAACGUGCAAGAGACACUACUGAACUCGAGACCGGGAGGAGUCAGAAGUAUUCCAGGGGGAGCGGUAAAAUGUUAUAAUCCCUGGAGGACUACCUAUGGCGAAGGCAUCUGACCAGAACGGAUCUGACUGUGAGGGACGAAAGCCAGGGGAGCGAACCGGAUUAGAUACCCGCGUAGUCC